rnacentral:lncRNA from 1 species
AUAAAGGACUUGUCUAGGGGAGAGCCUAUGGAUCUGAGAACGCUGUCUGGGCUUGGUACCAAGAGCUGGUAUUUCACAGCAGCGACCGCCUCACAGACGAGCUGUGGGAAGCAGGAGGGAGACUCUCUCUUAGGGUGCCACUACUAUGGAGACACAGCUGGGCUGAACAAGAUUUGCUUCAAACGACAACAAGAGAGACAGAAAGUAUCUGGUUCAACCGCUGCCCGAGCAGGCAGGCACCAGAAGAGCUAGCAGCCAAUCCGGCCAUGCUCGAAGCCAGCUCUGCAGCUCAGCCAAUCAGUGACAUCAUUGGCAAUCACGAUCGUCUUCCUUAAGGAAUAACAUCUGCACAACCUCCAGAGCCAAAAAUCUGCAACCUCCCGCACAGUAUGAAUUAUGAUUUCUUGGAAUUGGGAACACUUGACAAACUGAAGUAGAAAAAUGGAAGGUUUAAAGGAAUGGAUCAACAUUUUAUUGAGUGUGCCAUGUGGCGACAGCGCAAACUCCCAUUCCUUUGAAAUGAUGGAGAAUGGUGAGGAAAGGGGGCCAAAAAUAUACCUACAUGUGUUCAUUUGAUUUUUAGACACAGCCGAAAUGUAAUGUGUUUUAUGAAGACGUGGCUGCCUCUGUGUUUUUCUGUGGACAUCCUAGCAAGGUCCUGUAAAGGGCGUAGCAACGUGGAGAAAUAAAUGGGGGGCGAAGGUGGUCGUGAAAGCAGAGAAAUUGUCUCCCCUCGAGAAGGAAGCAAUGUAAUGUAGCAGGAACCAUUUUGACCCCGGAGUUAAAAAUUAUAGUGUACCUCCGACUCUUUCUCUUGUUAUCACCUUGAUCAGAUCACUUAAUUUCUUUCCAUUUUCUCCUGCAUUCAAAAAUUCAAGACAAUGCCAGCAUAGAGAUUUUCUCUUUGUGUGAAAUGCCUUCCCAUUUUUUAAGAGUCUAGAUCCUUUUUUGCUUCAAGGACCAAGUUAAAUGUCUCCUCUUCUGUGAAAUCUCUCCAAAUCAUCACGACCAGAAUCUCUCACUUCUCCACCCCUUUUCAUCUCCUUUAUUGCCUGUGUGCCAGUCAGUAUUGCUGUAGGGCCACAUGUGUGUACGUCUUUGCCACUAGACUGAAAGCCCCUUGGGGACAGAGACCACAUUGAAUUCUUCCACCCCCAGCUCUAAGAAUAAUGAAUGAUGCUCCUAAGGUUCAAAUCCAUGUUUUAAUUAAUGAAUUAUAAGUACAUUAUAAAUUGCAGAGGGAGGGUCAUACAAAUUCUGGGGAUUACAAUUAUUGUUGUCAACUAUUACCACUAUGUACCAGUUGAUGUCAGCUUUACCUCAUCAAUGUUAAGCCUUUUAUUUCACUGGCCCUUCAUAAUAAAUCUCAGAUUAAAUGG